GCCUAGAUGGCUCAGUUGGUUAAGCGUCUGACUUCAGCUCAGGUUAUAAUCUCAUGGCUCAUAGGUUCAAGCCCUACAUCAGGCU
rnacentral:tRNA from 1 species